rnacentral:rRNA from 1 species
CAGCCGCCACGGGAAUACGAAGGGUGCAAGCGUUACUCGGAAUUACUGGGCGUAAAGCGUGCGUAGGUGGUGGUUUAAGUCCGUUGUGAAAGCCCUGGGCUCAACCUGGAAAUUGCAGUGGAUACUGGGUCACUAGAGUGUGGUAGAGGAUAGUGGAAUUUCCGGUGUAGCAGUGAAAUGCGUAGAGAUCGGAAGGAACAUCUGUGGCGAAGGCGACUAUCUGGGCCAACACUGACACUGAGGCACGAAAGCGUGGGGAGCAAACAGGAUUAGAUACCCCGGUAGUCCCUGUCUCUUAUAC